rnacentral:rRNA from 1 species
UACGUAGGGUGCAAGCGUUGUCCGGAAUUAUUGGGCGUAAAGAGCUCGUAGGCGGUCUGUCGCGUCGGCUGUGAAAACCUGGGGCUCAACCCCGGGCCUGCAGCCGAUACGGGCAGACUAGAAUUCGGUAGGGGAGACUGGAAUUCCUGGUGUAGCGGUGAAAUGCGCAGAUAUCAGGAGGAACACCGGUGGCGAAGGCGGGUCUCUGGGCAGUAACUGACGCUGAGGAGCGAAAGCGUGGGGAGCGAACAGG